CAGCCCUCUUAGAGAGAGGAGGGAUUGGUGCAUAAGGCCUUGGGUAACUGUGACAAGCUAAAGCCAUUGGAAUGGUAAAGGACAGCAAGUCUGCCUAGGAAUGGUAGUUUUAGUUUUUCUAAGGCUGGAAACUCAAUUGUGUUUAGGUGCCGAAGCAAAGAUUGGAAAAUGAAGGUUUCCUGAAAUGUCUUGGGGUGUAAAUCAGGCAUUGGUGGAAGCAGUGAUCUUUCAGAGAAGAGUGGACAUUGUCUUAAGUGCCUCACAAGGGAGAGAGACCACCGCAUCCUCUCCCAGGGAUCUUAAUCACAGCUGAGACUCCGGCUAUUUCAAGCAUAGAAGCUUCUAAUUGACUUUCAGAGCUGUAAUGCAUGUCUGGGACUCAUGGAGAAUAUGAACAAACUCACUGCAAAGCCUUCUGGAUACUUUCUCCCAGACUUAUAGGUUUAUGUCAUCAUGCUCGGCUGAGAUAUUUUGCCUUCUUGUGUGACAAGACUCUUCCAGGGAAGGCAUCAUAUAUGUGUGGAGAGUGUGCCGCGAGCAAUCGCAUGCGUGCCGUGAGCAAUCGCCAUUAUAAGAUGGCGCUGGUUUCCACUGCGCCUAACUAGUAAACAAGCCUUAUGCGCAAAUGCAAGAGUGAACUCAUGCCUAGUCACUGCCCAUCCUGUGGCGUAGUAAUGGGGUGAUGGGCGAGCAACGAAUCAGGAGCUGUCAUGCCACAUCAGGUGCUGAAACGUCACACUGUGGGCUAUAUAAGCAGCACCAUUUUCCCAGUUCGGGGUCUUCCCUCCUGAUAAGUAAGCAAUAAAAGCUUUGCCGC
rnacentral:lncRNA from 1 species